ACAGGGUCACUCAGCUUUGGUAGAAGAAGGGAUGACCUGAGAUAGCUGCCACAUAUUCCCACAGAAAAGAAGCAGCCAGCAAUAUUGGGGAAAGAAUAUAGGUGUCAGGGGCAGAAAGCAGAGUGUAAAGUGAAUAAAUAAAAAGAUAUCAAUAAAAAAUAUUUAAUUAUUUAAAAAAAUUGGACAGAAUGUAUUGUUCUAGUAACUCUAGUGUGUAUACACAGGCAAUAACUUUAACACCCAGAGAGAAUAGAUGUUGUAAAGUAGGGUGCCUUUGGUAUUGACAUAAACUAGGAACAUAGCAAAGAUAAAUAAAAAAGAAAGAUGUUUGUCCCAUAGAUCCAUUAUUCUUCUCAAGUCUAAGUGUUUGUGCUCACUUUUACCAGAACUCUGGAAACCUCUGUUAAUCCAGGUCUCAGGGCUCAUCCAAAGUACAGUCCUGAACUGGCUGUGGCCAAGGGUUCCUGUGUUGUUGGCUGACCUCUGCCUCAGGCUUCAGAGGCACUGGAGGGGCAGUGUUGGCCUUCAGGUGGCAGCCAUUACAGGUCCCCUACCAUACCAGAUAGCGAGUCUUCCACAGAUGCCUGGCAUCUCAAAAACAGAAGCUUGGGUAUUUCAAAGAUUGGGAUGCCACUCUACAGUCAUGAUGAGUUGAUUACGUGAGACCAUACAAGUUAACUAAUGUCUGUAUGACUGUUUUCUUUAUUUGAAAGUGAGUAAUGAGAUCAUCUCAGGAGUGGUUGCUAAGAAUAAAAUCACUGAUUAACAUAAAUGAUAGGACUGUACAGAGCAUGGGCUUAAUAUUCUGGGUCCAGUGCAAAUAGCUGGGAGAGUUCAAAACAAAACCAAUAAAAGCAACAGGAAUACAAACAACAACAAUUGUUUAAAACCCUUUUGAGUGCUGAGAUUACUGGCAUGUACCAACUGUGGCUAACUUUUUUUGUUUUUAUAAUUAACAACCAAACAUACAAACAAACAAACAUCCCUAUUCCAAUUGCAGCAGUUUGCAUCAGAGAGAGCUGUGUGACACUGCAUGCUGCUUCCUUUCCUCAGAUAGCUCAGGUCGUCAGUCCUAUACCAGGUCGGCUGGACCUAAGACAGUGUAGUUGAACUACUUGCUGUCACGACAUGAUUCUACAACAAUCCUUUUCUUGGUAAAAUUGAGCCUCUAUAGAGUAAGCCCCAUGUUGUUGGAACCAGGACCCUUUAGGCCAGCAAACACACAAGCCACCCUUAGUGAAAGAGAAAAGGAAAAAUCACAUUGGAAAAAAAUAUGCGCCCUAAUUGUAAGAAAAAGCACUCAUCUUUGAAGCCAUCACCUAUCUCCCCCUGAUUUUUGAGCUCUGCAUAUUGAUAUUGUGUGGCUCAAGAAGGUAGUGAAAUUCAGAUGUUUUCUGAAAGAAGAUAUACAUGAUUUUUCACUCUUAAAUCUGUGAGGUUAGGGGGCACAGGUUCAGCAAAGCCAGCAUAAGAACACAAAAGCCAGAGAUGAUAAUGCCAAAGGGACAGCAUCCUGACCUUAUAGACACAUUAAAAUUGAGGUUUCAUCUCAAUUCAGGUCAUUGCACUCCCAGCCCUACCUUCUGAGUAUUAUAUUUGCUGUGAGUACAGUAUGACGUUACAACCUGCAACACCCUCAUUUCUCAACUUAGCAAUUCUGGAAGACAGAUAUUGGAGAAGUAAUUGCUAUGAGGCUACAAUGCAGUAAUGUACAGUUCAGGAUGACCACUACUCUCUGAUGCCCACUUAAAUUGUCUGGUUGAAUUUGAGAAUGGGAGCAUGUGCAGGAUAAUGUUUUGAAGAAGGCACAGCAAGUUAACCAUUUAUAUUUGCCCUGUAGAUGAUUCCAUAUGUUCAAAAGUGUAGGGAGUUUUCUUUGUAAAAGAUAGGGUUGUAAACCAGAGAUUUUGUGAAACUCAUAUAUAUAUACAUAUAUAUAUAUAUAUAUAUAUAUAUAUAUGAAAAAAUGCCCUCUGUCAAGGAAUACACCGUUAGAAAAUAUUGUCCAUGUUUUGUACAAUUAAACCUAUAGGAGAAAGAUAUUUGCCUCUGUGAGACAGGAAAACCCUGGGAAAUUGGAGUGUAUGUCACAUGAAUUGACACAGCUGGUAUAUUUACUGUUGUGAAACAUCUACUACAUCCACAGUCCCUAGAGUUUUGGGUGCCAACAAAAUCUCUUAAGCAUGUCAGAGUCCUAACCAACGUUCCCCCUCAAAAGCACAUGACAUCUAAUGAAGCAGUAGAAUUCUCCAGCUUUGGAAGGAGAGGUUGCCAAAGGGGAUCCCACGGGUCCAUGAGAGGCUCCAGGAGAGGCACCCCAGAAAAGGACCAAGCUGGGCAGAACUAGUUAACAGGUAGGUCAUGGCAGUUGCUAGUGACAUCAUCAGUAAUGCCUUCCUUGGAGAAUCUCUUGUAUCUAGGAUAGAACUAGAAUCUUCUGUGUUGUCACCUGUGUUGUGGUGACAGCAACUGCCUGUGGUUCAUCCCUUCUGUUUGCUCUGGGUUCACCAGCAGGAAUGUUUUCCUGGCUGCUCAGGCUAUUUCAGAAAGAGAAUGUCGAUGAAGGAGAGACCAGACCAACAGAGAAGGAAGAGGGAAUCCUUUCUCAUG
rnacentral:lncRNA from 1 species